ensembl:lncRNA
AUGAAAAGAGUAGAAAGAACACAUUAUUUUAAAAAGAGAAAAAGUUGUAUUGCCUUGACUUACUGUAUAAUUGUGGCUACUCUGUGGCUGCUUUUCAGGCUGCUUUUAAGACAUGUACAUUACAAGUUUUGGGCAGUGCUCGGUCAGCUCCUGCAGACCUUGUUCUUGAGGAGAUUGACUCUGAAGAUGAGGCUCAAGAAAAAACAUGUUCAACAACGAACUCAUUGCCAAAUUCACAAACUCAGUCCCAACCACAAACACCUUGGUCGCCGGAACAAUCUCUUCCACUGAGUGUCACCACACCAGCACAAAUAGAACUGGAGGACGCAGAGACCCAAACCGCACGAUGGACGCCCAUGAUCGAGAACAUCAGAAGAGAGGCGGAGGACACCGCCAUAUUAAUUAUGGAGGAACGGUAAUACAUUUCUCUCUUGCUGGAAACACAGUGGCAGCUUGAUGAUCAAGUAUUUAACAGACUUAAAGGAAGAGUUCACCCAGAAAUUUAAAUUUGCUGUGGAUUUAUUCACCCUCAGGCCAUCCAACAUGUACAAGAGUUUAUUUCUUAAAUCAGAACAGAUUUUAUGACAUUUUCCAUUAUGUCACUUGCUCACCAAUGGAUCCUCUACAGUGAAUGGGUGCCGUCAGAAUGAGAGUCCAAACAGCUGAUAAAAACAUCACAAUAAUCCACAAACCAUCAAUUAAUGUCUUGUGUAACAAAAAGCUACAGGUUAAGAAACAAAUCCAUCAUCAAGGCAUUUUAACUUCAACUUGUUGCUUUCAGUCGUGGCCUAAUGGAUAGAGAGACGGACUUGUAACCUGAAGGUUGUGGGUUUGAGUCUCAGGUCUGGCAGGGAUUGUAGGUGGUGGGAGUGAAUAACCAGCUCUCUCCACCGUCAAUACCACGACUGAGGUGAACCCCCAACUGCUCCCUGGGUGCCGCAGCAUUGGCUGCCCACUGCUCUGUGUGUGUGUGUGUGUGUGUGUGCACUUGGAUGAGUAAAAUGCAGAGCACAAAUUCUGAGUAUGGGACACCAUACUUCACUCACUCAAUUUCAGCUAAAAUACUAGUCCUCUAUCCAUAAUAUUGUUUUCACCUGUAUAAAAGUUAUCUCUUCUGAAUCAAGGGAAAAAUAUGCUCAGACCAACCAAAACUGAUGGUGGAUUCUGAUGCAAGACUCCAACAGGGGAUGGUCUCUUUCACUGAAAAGCAUUAUUAUGGAUUAUGGACUUUGGCCAGAAAUGAAAGUUAAAGUUAAAAUGUCUUGAUGGAUUUGUUUUUUUAAAAACACAC